AUUGAACGCUGGCGGCAGGCCUAACACAUGCAAGUCGAGCGGAACGGCGGACGGGUGAGUAAUGCCUAGGCAUCUGCCUGGUAGUGGGGGAUAACGUCCGGAAACGGGCGCUAAUACCGCAUACUCUCAGAUGAGCCUAGGUCGGAUUAGCUAGUUGGUGGGGUAAAGGUCUACCAAGGCGACGAUCCGUAACUGGUCUGAGAGGAUGAUCAGUCAAACGGGAACGGAGACAGGGCCCAGAUUCCUCGGGGAGGCAGAGGUGGGAAUAAUUGGACAAGGGGCGAAAGCCUGAUCAAGCCAGGCGGGGUGUGGGAAGAAGGUCUUCGGUUUGAAAAGCACUUUAAGUUGGGAGGCGUUACCAACAGAAUAAGCACCGCCUAACCUCGUGCCAGCAGCCGCGGUAAUU
rnacentral:rRNA from 1 species